UCUCAUUCGGAUGCCCCCUGGAUGCCUCCCAGUGGGGGUGUACCAGGCACAGGCUACCGGGAUGAGACCCCGCUGGAGGGAUUACAUCUCCAAGUUGGCUGGGAGCGGUUUGGGGGUCCCUGAGAAUGAACUGGAGGAAGUUACGGGGGGCAGGGUCAUCUGGGAUUCUCUACUCUCCCAACUGCUACCGCGACCCUAUCAGGACUAAGCGGUUAACAAUGAUGAUGAUGAUGAUAAUUGAUGGGCAUGGUGUAGUAAUAAACUGUAGAUUUAUUAACACUAGUCUAUAUUGAUACAGAGGUAUUGGCAAUGCAUUUGAAUGACUUAACACACUUAUCACUAACUAAGUAUUUGGUGUAGAUAGCAUAGUCACAAAUAUCAGUAUUUGGUUUGCAGGGUUUGGACACAAGUGUUAACUAUAUAACACUUGCAUAAUAAGCAGAGGUGUUUAGUACCUAGUUCAGAUCUACCAAGUAAAAAGAAAGUAGGUAAAGGAACCUACAUUUUGCUCAUUAUAGCCAUUUAUACUUAGUUUCUAUUCCUUUUUUAUAUUUUGAUGGUGACUGUACUGUUUUGUGAUUGAUCUCUGACUUUGGAGCUUUAGCAUUUUAUUUUAGAGCAAUAGAAUCAGAAAUAGAGAAGAACAGAGCCAAAAAAUAUUCCCUUACUGAUAGAUGAUGGAUUUUAUGUGUACUUUUAAUUUCACUCAAGUUAUUAUUUGACCCAAGUAUCGCUACUUGAGUAUGGAUUAAAGCUUAUGACCAAAACGCACGUACCUGCCAUGCUUGAACUUAAUGUUGUCUAAUCCCUCCCUCUCCUUGUCCUCCUCAUUCCUUUGUGCACUAGCUCCUCCGUCUCUCUCCUCUUCACUCAGUGUGUUGCGUGUUGCGCGCGCGGCUGCUGCUUACACUUCUGCUCGGAGACCUUAGCGCAACCCAUGCACGAGAGCUGCAAAAUGAGGAGCGUUAACGCACGGCCCUCGCUUUCUCCACACAGAAAAAUCAUCAGUCAGGAAGGCAGCAGCAGGAUGAAACGGACAGCUUUGCUUUUAGAGUAUUUGUUGGUGAAAGUGAUGGUGUUGGUGUGUCGCGCUGACGGCGAGCCCAAGCAGCAGCUGGACGGUUUCAUCAUGCUCGCGGGCUCUAACGGAUCGAGGGAGGAGGACGGGGCCGUGUCCGAGGCCCCACACUCUCCGGACGAGUGCAGGGGCUACUACGACGUGAUGGGUCAGUGGGACCCUCCGUUCAUCUGCCAGACCGGCAGCUACCUGUACUGCUGCGGCACCUGUGGCUUCCGCUUCUGCUGCGCAUUCAAAGACUCGCGCCUGGACCAGAGCACGUGCAAGAACUACGACACACCUGUGUGGCUCAAGGGUCAAACCCCAUACAAGAAGAAGGACACCAGGCAUGAUCCGACCAAGGAUAAGACCAACAUGAUUGUCUACGUCAUUUGCGAGUGGUGGCCAUCAUGGCCCUGGUGGGGGAUUUUUACCAAACUUGGACUAGAAAAGGCGCAGCGGCCACACAGGGAAAACAUGACACGAGCUGUAGCAAGCGUGAUGCAAAGGUGCCUGUCAGGUUGAGCAUGAAGAAGCAAUUGGCAUGCACGCGCGGGCAACUAUGACAACAUGCAACAUGCCAGGGCCACCAACAUACAGGGGGCCCAGAUGCACAACAUGAGUCAGCCACACCCUUACCCUGCACUCAGCCAGCUGGCCCAUGUGUACGAGCAACAGCAGCCUAGCAAAGAACUCAACAAAUAUGCGUCACUAAAGGCUGUGGCAGCGAAAGCCAGUGGUGACUUCUACAACAAGCAGCAUUGCCACUUGACAGAAUUGACAGCGAAAGGCAACCUGCCCCUGCACACAAUGAGGGUGGAGCAUGUGGAGCCCACCGCAACCUAUGUCACAGAAAUCCCCUGCCCCAAGCAGAAUGGACAGAAACCUAAGACUGCUAAGGCCCAUUUGCCGCAUCAUGUGGCCUACAGCUCCAACACCAUAGCCACACCAGGCAUGCUGAAAUACUGGGACGGCACAGAGACUGUGGGUCGACGCAAAGCCUACGGCCCAAAGAAUCCCUGCCCGGUGAGUCAGAUGAACGAGCUCCAAACUGCCCACAGCCACCAUUACCUUCCCACACAGCCCUACUUCGUAACCAACAGUAAGACGGAAGUGACCGUUUGAAGGAUUGACCUGCCUUCAAGAGGUUAUUCACGCCCAGAGAGAAUGCAGAAAGGAAGGAAGCAGAAUCAAUCGAUAUCCUAACAGUAAAACUCCAGUCUGCCCCUAGCGAAGUGGCAUAACUGCGGAGUUGAGUUGGCUGCACUCUGAUUGGCAGCAACGAGAGACCUCACCAUGCCAACAACUGAUUACAAAAGCAGGAACAAUUCAGGACCUGUUUUCAGAAAAAUGUUCACUACAGUUCAUACCUAUUAACAAUUGAUGAUGUGUUUGUGUUCAAUCCACAACAUGAUAAAGUUUCAGACAAAAAGGAAUGAGAUAAAAAGAGUCAAAUAAGCAAGCAAUAAAAAUGAAUUAAUGAACUAAAACAUCAACGAAUGGCUAUAAAACUGACUCAAAAAUGCAUUGCAGUAUUAAGCCCAAAGGUCCAAGGGCUAGUGUGGAGUAUGGAAAAAGUCCAGAACUCUACACAAUAAUCAACAUGAUGUCUGUUAAGCUGGAUCUUCCCUCAGAUAAUUCCUCAACUGCUGAAACUAGUCUUGUUUACUAUAUGGGAAAUGAAAUUGGUGGCAGAUGCCUUAUUUUAAAGAUACUUUUGAACGCCUUAUUAAAAAGAUCAAUACUAAUACUACAGACAGUUCUGCAGGAUUCCUAUAAGUUCCUAUAGUCAGUUUAGACAUUGUGUAGUAGACAAUACUACACAAGUAUUAUAAAUUGCCAUAAGAAAGUACUUCAGGAAUAUUGUGGAAGGUGAAAAUAUUAUAGAUUAUUAUAAAAGUAUUAUACAGCACUACAUAAGAUGUAUAGUUUCUUAUAGUGUUGCUACAGUUCUUUUUUUUCUAAGGGAAGAAGCAGUGAAAGAAACACAAAUGAACCUUCAUAUCAUGGACUGGUAUUCUAGGGCUGCACCUUUCAUUUUCACAUCAAAAAAGCUUCACAGGUGAAGAUGGGAGAACCCUUUCAUUUAAUCUACUCUCAAAAAUCUGUGCCAUGUAACGAGCCUCACAAAAUAUGCUCCAUUUCUCAAGAGCUAGAAUUAUCUUUCAAGGAGAUCAUUUCUACUAUAUUGAUCACAGAGUACCAUGAGGUAGCAUUGGCAGUCCAGGGAAAAAGGACAAGUAGUGAAAAGUACUGUUAAUGAACAUGGUCACUCCGCUACAGAUUGUGCCUGUUAGCCCUUGAUCUUCGAAAAUAAGUGGUUGAUCUCCCUUUUGGAAUAUUCAACUUUUAUUUCUUAAGUGUUUUAUUGCAUCCUCUUGGACGCAUAAGAGCAUGUUGAACUAUUUGUCCAAUGCUUCUUCACAACAGUAGACGUCUAUGCAACUCAGUUGCAACCACAAGAUUUUAGCACUUUAAUUUCAGUAGUUGAGUAGAACUGGAGGAGCAUUAUUUUUUCAAACAGACAUUCUGGUGAAAACGAUUUAAAAAAACACACACACACACACACAGAGUACAUUGUGCCAAGAAUUAGCUUGUUGAAGUUUGUGUUUAAUUUUAUUAUUAUCUAUUUGUCUUUUUCACUCAGUUGUGCAUUCCAGAUAACAAUGUUGCUGCAUCACAAUAUAAUACAUGUGGUGGUUCUGGAAAGCAAAAUCAAGUCAUAAUAUUGGAAUAAAAUAAUAAUUUCUUUCUUC